UUCAGGAAGAGCUCUGAAAAGUACGAUUGCCACAGCUACCUUACCUUCAUCAGGAUGUGGAAGCCACCACACAUGAAGGAAGGGUCAAGGGCACUGCAGGAAGAAGCCGUUCCUUGGGAGACUGAGAGUGGAGUCCAGUGGGUCGCCCUCUUGCGCUGCUGGAAAGAGGACUGCGCACGCUUUUGAACACCAACAGUCCUACAGGGCGGUGGAACAAACCCGCACGACAAAGACGUUAGGAAAGAGAGAAACUUACUGUCUAACAAGAACCAUCCAAUUUUCAAUGCGACUGCCAAAGCAAAACCAUAUGUAAGAACAUAAAACCUUACAAAGCGAAUGUUGUACAUGCUGCAGGUAUGCACAGGGUGUUGUUCAUGAUGCUUCAGCUGAUGCUGCUUCAGUGUUAUCCUUCAAAAUGGGCUCUAUGAAAAGAAGAUGACAAGAUAAGCAUGAAAGGACCACUCCAAGAGGAGCAGGGGCAGCGCACUGCAAGACUCCUUUCCUCAUGACUAUUCCUUUACACUCCCACUCAGGCAUCUGCAUGCUUGGCUUGCUGUGGAAAAUCCCCAGGCAGCUCCUGCUCAUAGGCAACAAGGUUUCUCACACUGUAGUGGCUCCUUGGAGGAUCACAGGUCAUUUUGGCAUAAUGGUUAAGAUCCUGGUCUUACAAGGCAAAUGCCUAGGUUAGAAUCUCAGUGGACCAGCUGUGAGACCUCUGUGCCCUGGGCAUAAAUGAAGAUAAUGACAACACCUAUCUCUUGAGACUUUUAUGGAAAGAAAACAGAGAAAGACCUUCUAAGCACAGCACAAUAACCAGAGUUGGAGUCACUGAUAUUAUUUUGGAGGGCUUCUUCUCUUAUCAGUCACGAGCACACACAUGGUUACAUCAUGUAUCCUGCUUCAGGUGUGGAGACCUUAUGAGUGAACUAAGAACAAAGUCAAAUAAUAUCAACAGUUUCAUCUAUUAAAAAACAUAUACAGCAUUAAUUUAAAUGAUGAAAAAAAAUUAUAAGAAUGUACCUCAAGCAGGAAGAAUGUCAAGGAAUCUUUUCCUGUCUCAAUGCAGCAAGAAAGAAUAGCAGUUCAGCUCAGAAGCAGUUACUAAACCAGUUUGAUGAGAGGUAUCUGAUGUAACAAGUUGUAGAAGAUGCACAAAACAGGGGUGAGAUAGGAUUCUGGAGGUGAGCGAAUGAUGCUCACACAUGGAAAUGUUGCUGCGUCUCACCCACUGACCUGCCAGGUUUCAAUCAAGGGAGUUAGGAUCCCUGCUUUUCAGAGUUGUGCUAUGUAGUAAUCCUAAAUUCUUCAGCUGCUCUAAACACAGGAGAUGUUUAAAGGCAAGAGGUGGACCUCUCUCCUAGUGAGAAAAAUGGGUACUCCCAAAAUAGACAGGUAAAAUGUAUUGACCAAGAGCAGUCAGGAUUGAUAGGUGGUGUGGUGGAGUAGAUACCUGAAGCAGUUGAUGAGGUCUUUCUUCCUGAAAUCCUUUUGACUUUCUUUGAAACAUCACUAAGUGAUCACUUUGGAGGAAGGUAUCUUAGGGGGCACAUAAGGGGAAUUGGAGGAGAGGGGAGGGCAUUGUUGAAGCUAGAGGAGGAGUGCAUGUAGUCAGAGGUAAUUAGAAGAUCUUCAGUGACCUUAGCAAGAGCAAUUCUUUUCAGUGAAACUGCUUUCUGCUUAUUUCUUCACUCAUGCAACCCUACAGACUCACAUAACUCACACAUCUAAUAUGCAAGCCUUAUUUUAAGACCAUGUGACAAAAUACUCAGUCAAUGAUUAUGAUAAAUGUCAAGAGCUCAAGAUCUGGUUAUUGUUCUUAAUUUUGUCCAAUUACAGAAGUACAUGGGAUCUAUUUAUUGGAUACAUCAGGGUAGUAAUUCAUGGUAAUUAUUCUUCUUCUACUGAUUCCCUAAUAGAGUCCUUACAAUAGCUCUUUCAAUGUGUAAUGAAAAGAGCACUGGAUUUAGUAUCAGAAAACCUGAUUGUUAGUCCUGAUUCCAACCACAUGGUCUUGGAAAAACAGUUAAGUGCUCACAACCUAGACCUUAGAGAAAUAAUAUUUAAGCAGAAAGUCAUUCACUCAUUCAAUAUUUACUGAGGAUUUUAAGCACUGGAAUGGGCACUAGGGAUGGAAUGAGUAGGCACAAGACAUAGCCACACACCAAAAAGAUGUAAUCACAACCUUUACCUCGCACUGGCCUUUGGAGGGAAAUGGACAAGCAAAGGCCAAAGAAGUUACACAUAAAAGUUAUUUCACAACUAUAAAGUAUUUAAACUAUAAAGCAAUGUUCAAAGUAUCAAUUUCUGUUGUCAUAUUAUUCACCCAAAUUCAUCCACUAAUUUUUAAAGUUUACUAUACGGGCACCUACAUUGCAUAUGCUGUCCUAGAAAUGGACGAUGCAAAGAUGAACAGUGUAAAAACAAUGAAAUAAAAUAAAAUAAAUAUGGAUGUCUCAACUUGGAUACACCUUAAAACAUACUGUUGAGCAGAAAAAGACAAAGUGCAGAAUUGGUUAGUAUAAAGUGAAAGCAUUUGUGCUUUUACCUUACUCACCUUUAGAUUCUUCAUUACUAGGGUGCCUCAGGUAGCAGAGAGGCCCUUCUAGCGAAUAUUAAUUAUCUUUGAAAUCAGAUAGUAAAUAAUAUUAUAUUUAGUCCAUGGAUGUAGAUAAGUAGAUGCAUAAGCUAAGAGGACAUGCAUUGAAUUUAUGUUAGUGUUAGUUCCUAGGAAGGAAGAAAAAGAAGUAUAACAGAGAGCAGUGUUGAGGAUAAAGUAUUCUUUACCAUUUGACAGUGCUUAUUUAAAAAAAAAAGAAAUAAGUUUUUGUGAGACACGAACAUGCUUGGUAUUGUACCCUAUCCCUUUUCUUCAAAAGACCACCGGCUAGUAAGGAGAAGAGACCUGUGAGCAAUUCUAAUGCAGAGCAGUAAGCAGUACUCCAGACCUCUCUCCCCUUGCAGGUUCGAGCCUCGGGGCUAUUGCCACUUGUGGGGAAUUAGUGAAAGCAGUUCUUUGACUAUUCUCCUUCUCCACUUUCUCUCUACAUUUCCACCUCUUCAGAAGAGCAAGGUUUUCAUGCUUACAAGGUCUGCAUGCUUUCCCUGUUUUUAUAAUUUCAUCCCAAUGCACGCUUGCCAGGUGAAGCACUCACUCACUGAGGAAGACUCUGAUCCCUUCUUUUUGUGCACUCAAGCAAAAAUCCUUCUUUUGAUUUUGUUUCUUCAGAUUUCAAUCUUAUCCCCUUUCCUAACUAUUCUAUUUUGCACAUGCAUGGCAAUCUAGCAAUCUUCACCUAAUCCGAAUUUUCCUACUAUUUCUCUUAUAAUCUUUUCUUUAUAGUCAGUCUCCACCUGAUAUGUGGCCUACACCUAUGGCUCCCACACACUGAGAAUGCACAGUCUUGCUCCCACCUCUUUUCCUCAUCGCCAGCAACCCUACUAAACACCCUGUUGAAAUUGGAUCCUUUAUUACGUCAUAUAGCCAAUAAUGAGUGCAUACCAAGAGAAGAGAACAGAAUUUCAUGGAAGAACUGAAAGUUCUUUGUUUAUGGGACAGAAGAAUACAAGACCCUCACAGUCAGCAGAGGACAGCUGAAGUGGUAAAGGACAGAAUGAGGAUGGGAUGUUGUCAGGGAGAAUGACUCAAGACGGAAGUUGGAAUCUACCACCUAUAGAGAAUAGGGCAAGACAACUGUAUCUCUUGAGGACAUCUUCAGGGAUUUGCUAGUUUAUCAGCUCUCAUCGUGUCCCCUACUACCUCUGCUCUGACAAUUUCCAAGUGUCUGUUUCCCAUCUGAGCCUGUAACCUCAAGGCCACAUUUUUUGGUUCUUGUUGAACAUUUAUAGUGUGAUAUUUUACCAUAAGCUCAAAUUCAGCACGUCCAACACUAAGCUCUUCAUUUCUCUCCAUAUUCUAAACACAUGGAUGAAAUGUCCACCACAAACAGUAAAAAACUACUUAUGUUCGUUCUAAUGACUGGUAUUUUCUGAAAAUUUCAAUUUAUCCCUAUCAUUUCCAUUUCUCAAAUCCUCUCCCAUUUGCUUGGGUAUGCGAUCACAGUGCCUUCAGUGGAACCAGCCUUGAAUAGGUGAAAAUGUCUCUAAAUGCAUAUGAUUUGAAGGGUGAGCUGAUGUUCUCAGCUGCUUUGAUGAUGGUACAGAGAAAAGCAAAAUAAGAGGCUAAUUUCUGUUUUGAUUUCAAAUCAACAAAAUCCUGCUACACAUGACCAAAACAUUUGGCUUCUAACUGUGAUUGUUUUUAACUAUCGAACACAAGAAGGACUAAGCAAAAGUACCCUCUGCAACACAGGUCAUUGUUCCUUCAAAUUUCAAGAAUAUACCCACCUGAGAAAAGUAGAAUAGAAUAUCAAAGUGGAAUAUCAGAUAGCCACAGUUUUUUUUCCAUAGAAUGGGCUGAAAAUAUGGCUGUAGUAGACCAUUUUUCCACAAACAUUUUUGUAGGGGUGUCUCAAAUUCAUAAGCUCUGUGUGGCAAGUUAAACAAUACGCUGAUUUUAUGCUGUUU